CUUGACACCGUGGCUGUCUCUCUUACCCUGUUAAUUUCCAAGAUUGAAGUCACCAGGGAGAAGGAGGGAAGUACAGAAUCGGGAUGUUUCUAUCCAUUUCUAUGAGCAGGGAGUAAAACACCUGUUAGUGGAAGGGAGCAUAGGGAUGAUAUUGUGUCCAUUGUUGCCCAACAGUCAGAGAGAGGGCUUGUGUAUUUACUCAGGUGACAUUGAGAGAGAACCUACUCUGUGCAAAUCCCUGUGCUCACUCCUGGGGUCCGAAGGUGGAUUGGACCCAUCCCUGUCUCCUUGAGACCAGAAAUCUCUCAUUCAUGUUCACUGCCAGAUCCCUCACUUAGUGCCUGGCACCAGUGGUCCUCAAUAAAAACAUGCUGAACAAAUUUUUUAAAUCACAGAUUGGAAUGACCCAGACUAUGGAGUGGACUCUCAUAGGCAAAUCAUAGGCAGGCUGUGAAAUAUUGCUCAACAAGUAUUUAUCGAGCACCUGUGAUAGUGCCAGGCACUGGCCAUGACCCAGUGUGGGACCACUAGAGAGGCCCUAAUUCCUCCCAGGUGUAAGGGAUGGCUUCCCGGAAGGAGCAGUCCCUGAGCUGAGUCUCCAGUGUGAAGGGUGAGGGAGUGAGAACAUGGGGGUGGGGGAGACGGUUGGCACAAACGCAUGGUGGUAACACAAUGAGAGCAAGUUUGGGGCGCUGCUGGCAGCUCCUACGGCCAGAGGGCAACAGGCGAGGCCGGGAGGGAAUGAGGCUGGCAAAGCUGGCAGGGCCAGACUACCAAAGCAGUUUUCAGCAGUACAACAGGGAGCCGCUGAGGGUUUGAGGCACAGCAUGGUGAUGGGAUUGCAGGCAGAUGGGCCUGCAAGUGAGUCAGGGGCCAGCAGGGAAGUUGUGGCCAGGGGAGUGGCCGAGGGCAGGGGCUGGAGGGUGGAGGGUGGCAGGUGGAGGAGAUGUUUACAAGGUAGAAUCACAAUGCCUUGAUGAAUGGCUGAAUGGGUAGAGAAAGGGAGGCAGGGGCCAGGAGGAGAAGGGGUUCGCCAACUCUGACUCCAGACCCAAAGUGAAUAUAGGACACGAAAGGAAAGGAAAUAGGUUUGGGUUGAAAAGGGGGGGGAAGGGAGAUGGCCCCACCAGCAGACAGUCAAAAGCAAACCUAUCCAUUGUUCUUAAAGCCAUCAGUCAGCUUGACGGUGUCUCAUCAGCAGUGAGACACCAACAGUGUCUCACCUGCCUUCAUGUCCCUGGAAUAGUGGCUCAUCUCACCCCUGGGGCGGUGACAGCAUCUGCUCAUACGCAGGACCAAAGUUCAACCAAAGUACAGGGCACCAGGACUCCAAGCAGAGGUGUGACGUGAUGUGACUUACAUCAUAAGAGGAUUCUGCUGUGCUGACACCGAUGAAGACGAGGGUGGAAGAAGCAGGGAGACCAGCUAGGAGGCCAUCGCAGUGAUCCAGGUGAGACACGGUGGCGGCCGGGAGAGGGGGAAGCCAGUGCCCAAGGACGAUGCCCUGGAGUGAACCCAGUGGGCACUGAGGGAAUACUGCCGCCAUGAUGGAAACUCCCAGAGUAGGGCUUUGGCCACAGGGAAAGGGAAAUGAGAACAGGAGCUGGGAAGAGGCCUGGAAAAGACAAAGAAGUUUGGGAAUAAGAAAGAUAAGGAGGCACAACCUUGAGUCAUCAGACCUGGAAGUCUGAUCUUUGGAGACACGGUACAGCCCAACCGCUACCUGUCAGAUGGGAGCCUAGGUCCGGAACAGAUGAGCCCAAAGCCACACAGAAAGGUGGAGCUGUGUUAUCGGCCGAUCUGCUGAUUCAACGAGGUACCCCUGCAGGUAAAGACUGGCAGAGUAGAGGCUCCAACGUCUUUCCAUGGGUGAGAGAACUUGGAAUGGAAGAAGACCUAGUCAGAGGUAGGCCCGCAUAGGUGGGCCUGGACGUGCCAGCCACAGGGAGCUACGAGAGGUUUGGGAGGGGAAGGGGCGUGAUACGUUGGGAGAGGCUGGCCCAGUAUGACCCACCGCUGAAAUAACAAUGGGCUUCUGGGAUUGAGGCUACAGGGCCAGAUGCCCCAGUGCCCUUUCCUCUUCCCAUGACCCACCAAAACAUGGCGUCAAAGAUCUUCUGUUGCUGCUGCCAGGCCAAUGAGGGGCCUUCUUCCACUGUUGACUCACCUAAUAGUCCAAGAAUAUCCCAGAAGCACCAGCCACAGCUCUUCAAUCUGAACACGGAUCCUCGCACAAAUGGUUUGAAAAAGAGACACCCACACCACUUCUCCAAUAUUUGGGCGCUAAAAACUUGCACUAUUGGGAGACCCUGAGCAUUCUAGUCAGCAGCCCCCAUGCUGUGCGGCUGCCCAAGCGUCUCCCGAAUAGGGUGGUGAGCAGGAGCUAGGAAGAUGGGUUCAGAAAUUCCCCUGGAGAAGAAACCAUCUGAGCCACCCCUGUGCCACCAGCAAGAGGUGAUCUGGCCACAGCGGGAGGAGCUGCCUCCAAUUAAAAGUCCUUGGUUGCAUCACA